UUAGAUCAAAACCAAACGGCUCUCGGGCCGUCUCCCUGGUGAAUCUGAAUAACUUUGGGCUGAUCGCACGGUCUUGGUGCCGGCGACGUAUCCUUCCAAGGUGUGCCCUAUCAACUGUCGACUGUGGCAUAGACGCCCACAGUGGUUUUGACGGGUAACGGGGAAUUAGGGUUCGAUUCCGGAGAGGGAGCCUGAGAAACGGCUACCACUUCUACGGAAGGCAGCAGGCACGCAAAUUACCCACUGGCCGAAGGCCGAGGUAGUGACGAAAAAUAACGAUACCGGACUCAUCCGAGGCCCGGUAAUCGGAAUGAGUACACUUUAAAUCCUUUAACGAGGAACAAUUGGAGGGCAAGUCUGGUGCCAGCAGCCGCGGUAAUUCCAGCUCCAAUAGCGUAUAUUAAAGUUGUUGCGGUUAAAAAGCUCGUAGUUGGACCUCAAUGGGCAGUUUGUGGUCCGCUGCUUAGCGGUACUACUUGUUUUGCCCAUGUACUUUUGGGAGUCGGCGUUGGUGUCCUUAACCGGAUGUCAGCGGUGUUCCCAAGGUUUACUUUGAAAAAAUUAGAGUGCUCCAAG
rnacentral:rRNA from 1 species